AAGUGUGUGUCCCCCCCCCUCACCCCCCCAUUUUGGGGUCAUUUCCCCCAAUUUUGGGUCAUUUUCCCUCCAUUUUGGGCCUUAUUCACUCAGAUUUGGGAUCACAUACCCCAUUUUUGGGGUCACUUCCCUCCAAUUUGGGGUCAUUUCCCUCCGAUUUGGGGUCACUUCCCUCAAUUUUGGGGUCAUUUCUCACCAUUUUGGGGUCAUUUCCCUCCCAUUUUUGGAUCAUUUCCCUCUAUUUUGGGAUCAUUUCCCUCCAUUCUGGGGUCAUUUCUCUUCAUUUUGGGUUCACUUCCCUCCAUUCUGGGUUCAUUUCCCUCCAUUUGGGUUCAUUUCCCUCCAUUCUGGGUUCAUUUCCCUCCAAUUUGGGUUCAUUUCCCUCCAUUCUGGGUUCACUUCCCUCCAUUCUGGGUUCAUUUCCCUCCAUUCUGGGUUCAUUUCCCUCCAUUUGGGUUCAUUUCCCUCCAUUUUGGGUUCAUUUCCCUCCAUCUGGGUUCAUUUCCCUCCAUUUUGGGGUCACUUCCCUCCAUUUUGGGGUCAUUUCUCACCAUUUUGGGUUCACUUCCCUCCAUUUGGGGUCAUUUCCCUCCAUUUUGGGUUCAUUUCCCUCCAUUUUGAGGUCACUUCCCUACAUUUUGGGAUCAUUUCCCUCCAUCUGGGGUCAUUUCCCUCCAUUUUGGGGUCAUUUCUCACCAUUUUGGGGUCAUUUCCCUUCAUUUUGGGGUCAUUUCCCUCCAUUUUGGGUUAAUUUCCCUCCAUCUGGGGUCAUUUCCCUACAUUUUGGGGUCAUUUCCCUCCAUCUGGGGUCACUUCCCUCAAUUUUGGGGUCAUUUCCCUACAUUUUGGGGUCACUUCCCUCCAAUUUGGGUUAAUUUCCUUCCAUUUUGGGAUCAUUUCUCACCAUUUUGGGGUCAUUUCCCUCCAUUUUGGGUUCACUUCCCUCCAUUUUGGGUUCAUUUCCCACAAUUUUGGGUUCAUUUCCCUCCAUUUGGGGUCAUUUCCCUCCAUUUUGGGUUCAUUUCCCUCCAUUUUGGGGUCAUUUCCCUCCAUUUUGGGUUCAUUUCCCCCCCCCCGCCCCCCCCGCAGGUCAAUCGCCGCCAUUGUGGAACCCCAUCAAGACUGAAAGAAUCUU
rnacentral:lncRNA from 1 species